rnacentral:rRNA from 1 species
GAUGAACGCUGGAGGCGUGCCUAAUACAUGCAAGUCGAGCGAACAGAUGAGGAGCUUGCUCCUCUGACGUUAGCGGCGGACGGGUGAGUAACACGUGGAUAACCUACCUAUAAGACUGGGAUAACUUCGGGAAACCGGAGCUAAUACCGGAUAAUAUAUUGAACCGCAUGGUUCAAUAGUGAAAGACGGUUUUGCUGUCACUUAUAGAUGGAUCCGCGCCGCAUUAGCUAGUUGGUAAGGUAACGGCUUACCAAGGCAACGAUGCGUAGCCGACCUGAGAGGGUGAUCGGCCACACUGGAACUGAGACACGGUCCAGACUCCUACGGGAGGCAGCAGUAGGGAAUCUUCCGCAAUGGGCGAAAGCCUGACGGAGCAACGCCGCGUGAGUGAUGAAGGUCUUCGGAUCGUAAAACUCUGUUAUUAGGGAAGAACAAAUGUUUAAGUAACUAUGCACGUCUUGACGGUACCUAAUCAGAAAGCCACGGCUAACUACGUG